AGAAUCAGAGAAGACAACAUGGAGCUCUGUGUGGCAAAUACAAUAACGAAAGGAGCACACAUGAUUAUUUUGAAUCAUACAUUCUUAAUCUAUGAGAAUAAAAGAUGAAUCCAUGAUAACUUCUGUAAAAGGAUAGAAAAAGUAAUUUUUAAUCCUUUUCACUAUUGAAUAGCCUCAUACUUAGUAUUUAACUACUAGUAAAGAAUCAAAUACUUUCUCUUCUGCUUUUCACUGGUACCCAUGUUUUCAAGAUAACCAAAAAGUGCUAGUUUAAGAGAUAAGAAAUAGUUACAGAAGAAACAAUUGUAACAGAAAGUGUGUGUUUUCUCAGUUGCUUCAGUGGUGUCUUACUGUUUGCAACCGAGUGGACUGUAUCCUGCCAGGCUCCUCUGUGGGGAUUCUCCAGUCUUUUCUAGGGUGCUCAGCUCAGCCUCCUUUGGGUCUGGAUGGCACCCAGUCUGAUACGGGAGACUGCCUGCUCAGAUGGCAAUCAGAGAGUCAAUUUCCACCCUGGACAAUGGGUCUUAACUUUUCUGAGUGGCUGAACACCUUGGAACUGCCAGGAGACAGCACCGGCUUUGUUUGAGAGUCCUGCCUGGACCCGGAGGAAAGGACUCCAACGGGAGGCGUUCUGAGCGUUUGGGAUCAGAAACUGCCCCUUGGGGCGAAGGAAAAACCGGAAACCAAUGUCUUCACGACCUGCAAUUGCAGAACUGUAUUUGAACACGAGCGAAAGUGGGGUACAGGCUCGAGGAAAGUAGUUGAGAGCUCCCGACACUACCUCCUCCCUGGUCGUCUCCAGCCCCGCUCCAUGCCCUGGUGCCAGGGAAAGGUAUGAACCAGCAGCAUUACCAUCUGGGCACUGAAGCUUUCCGAGGUGAAACCUGGGACGCUGCUUUCCACAACAUCUUUUCCUGCUUGAUGAUGUGAUGGAUUGUAUUACUUAAUUUUCAUCUUGCUGCUGGACUGGUUGUUGCCAUCUCUCCCGUCACGACCUCUGCUGCCACUUCCUGUGCUCUGUCGCCUGCUCCAUGGUCCAGUCUACCCACUUUUGGGUGCACAGAUGGAUGGAUCGCUCAGGUGUCCUGUGGAACUUCGCGAGGCCAGUGUGUUGACUUCUGACCAGUCUCAUCUGAAACCACAUCCUUUUACACAGACAUAAGCACUCUGAGGUAUUGGGCCUCCAGCUUACUCUAGGAGGACAGAGAGCAGAUUAAGUUUGUUUGACAUAACUAGAAGGGGCUGAGCCUCUUCCCAGAAGAGCAAAGUCCAUUCAUGGUAACUACUAUCAACUACCUUUUCUAGAUAGCAUUUGCUUCUAGUUGCAGAGACAUUGUUUCUUUCAGCAGAAGAAAAUGAGUGGAUUGGUGAUCCAAUACUUCUAUCUCCAAAGAAACGUGGAUGGGUGAUAAAAGUGCCCGAGGUGAGAUUGCUGAUUGCCGUGGCCAUUUCAGAGCUUCAUUUGCUCUGAAAGAUACCAGCAAAGUUACUGACGUUUGUGUUUGUUUAGUAGUAUUCAUGCCUCCACAUUAGAGAGAGUGUUCUGGGUGGGGCCCAGGUAUUCUGAGUGACGGUAAGAAUAGACAUAGCUUCCUAAAAGUGUAUGGUGUUGUUCCAUUAGAUUGUGGUAUGACCAUGAGCACCCAGCCAGUCUGAAUGGUGGUGGGAACAUAAAUAUCUAGAAGCAUAGGUAUGGCGCUACCUUUUCCCAUCAUAUAACCUGUGCUCUGAACUAUGUGCCCCAAGUACUCUUGACGGUUGCCCUUCCAAUCACAGAUAUGAUGCUGGCCCAUCAGACAGCAAAAGAUGUGCUGUGUCCAGAUGGGCACGAGGUGUCUGGUGGAAGGCAGGGACAGCAGUGUCUUCUGGCAUGUGUUUCUUCUCAGUGGUGCAGACUUCUCCUGGAGUAACAGAUUUGCUCUUGGCUGGGUGGGCCCAAGUAUUCAGAUCAGAUGCAGAAAGAGAAGAUGCUAAACACUGGGAUGGUGUUGGCCCUUCCUGUUGCAAAACACAUGCUCUGUCCAGGUGGGACGCAGGAGUUCUCACUGUAGGUAGGGACAUAAAGACCUCUAAGCAUAGGUGAAGUGCUCACCCUUUUGAUGGCUAUAGACUAUAGGCACAAAAAAAAGUGUCUCCAGCACAGUUAUGGUUCUAUAUCCUUAUCUGCAACAGAUGUACCCUGUCUGGAUGGGUCCCAGGCAAUCUGAACACAUGGAAGGACAGAAGUGUCUUCUGGCGCAUGUUCCUUCUCAGUGAUGCUCUCAUCCUGUGGUAGCAGGUGGCUGGGCUGACUCUAGGUGUUCUUAUUAUAGGCAGGAAGGAAAGUAUCUCCCAAGACAGAUUUGCUCUCAGUAGCGCUGGCUUCUCCAAUUGUAACAGGAGUAUAGUAGGCUGACAGGACCCUGGAGCUCAGGUCUAAGCCUUCUUCCCCCAAAUUAGCUGUGGUUCUGGGUGUCCCACUUGGCCUUGCUCCAAAGCUGAGUGUUUCAGACAUGGAACUGGGGCCUGGGACAUACACAAUGACCCCAAAGCUGCCACUACCCACAGGUGCUGAAAAUCCCUUAAAUGCAAAUGGUUCUCAAGGGAUGUUGGCAAAAAGUGAGCCGCAGUCCUCAAUACUGUGCAUUCUGGUGGCAGUUCCAGAGCAAGAAAGAGUGAAAUGAGGUGAAGUGCCACCAAAGGCUGGUUUGUUGUCCACAGGGAUGUCAGAGUUAGAACAUGGGAUGUCAAACUCCUCAGAGCUGAGUUGUGCUACUUUGGGGUUCCAGGGAUGCAGUAGACGCUAAGUGGGAGGAUUAACUGGGGCAGCCGGGUUUCCCAAAGGGACAGCUCUUAAAGCUGUCAAGAGGAGGCAAGAAGAUAAUAGACUGGGAGUUGGUUAUGGUAAUCUACAUCAAUUUCAUCAGAGUCAAAGACAGGCUUGGAUGCCAUGUCCGAAGAGGUGCUGGUUAUUGGAUUGAGGUGACUGCAGAAUCAGUGGUAGGUGAGCCAGAAAAGACAAGGGACACUGGGGAGAGUGACUCAUUCUGCUGCCCAUAUAGAUCCCCAGCUGCCCCAAAGGGAAGUUUGAAAAUUCAGGUAGGGCUGCGGACCAUAAAAGCAGGUGGGCAAGUGGUGACUGACCUUUGCAGGGCAUAUCUGCUCUGUACUGGGAUAGACCUGGUAAAAUGCCAGGGAGCUCACACAGAGGAAGUGAUUGCAGAAGCAGUGAUGGACUGGUUGACGAAGUCUGGGAUGCUCAUGAAAGGGAUUUGAAGAGAAGUCUGUAAAAAAAGAGGGAGGAGAAUCCACCCACCUAGGUGAAGGUGAUUCAGUUCUACAGAAGGUAGGCUUUGAGGAGAGGAGGGAGGUGUCAGGAGGUACGGUGAGAGCAGAAGAUCCUGGGAAACUAUGACUGAGGAACUAGAUUGCUGAUAGCAUCUGUUCAUUCUCGUUAGUACCUGGAACCCCACAUAUGGGUUGGAAUCUGGAGUGAGGAACAGCAGCAAUAGCAAAAGAAGGAGAGUUUGAAAUUGUGCAUCUCAUUUCAUGACUGAUAUCUGGUGUGGGGGAUUAGUGACAGGUCAGUCAAAUCAGUGGCUACUAAUGGGGUGGUCUCUGGAAUCUGCAAGGGGAGAGUGGCCAGUGGCAAUGGAACUACAGUCCCUGGCAACUAACAGUGCAAGGGAACAGGCAGGUUGAGUGGCAGGCUAUCAGCAGUGGCCUCAGUUUUAUCCUAUGGUUUUGGUGGUGCUGUGUUCUUCUCCAAGCCCAGGUCUUCAGCAAUGACCGUACGCUGGAAGGUGGGACACAGGGCCUUUCGCUCGAUCCCACGACAGCGGUAGUAGCCGCAAUGGUGGCAGCAGUAGUGGCAUUGCUGUGUUCUGUUUACAGAGCCCACAACUGACAGAUGUGGGUUGAGAAUUUCUCCUUGACAAUGUAUCUGAAAGCCUUCCUCUCUGAGUCUACUUCUUUGACUUCAGUGAAGCUGAAGAACUGAGUCAGUGCUCUUCAUCAAGCUUUCUCAACCACUCUGGCCAUAGGAAGCAGACUGUGGCUGGGCCAGACAGGCCAGCUGCACUUGGAUCACUCUUGCAAAGAGGCCAGAAGCCUCCAGUGGGGCUGUGUGGUAGGGCCUUUGGGAAAUGAGCUCGUAAAGAUGCCGGUGAUAUCUUACCUAAGCUCUCUUCUUGAAAUAGAGGUUUCCCUUCAGAGGCUCAGGACUGCUCCCAAAUACAUGACAACUUGUCAUCAGGAGCCGAGGUGCUGGUGGUAUACUUUUAUUGCUGUAAGGACCCCUUUUCUGAAAGUCCUGCGUUUUGGACACUUUUUGAUUCCUUCCUCCUUAGAUAUUCCCUUCUUUCACAUUCCCAGUGUCUUCAGCUCAGUCUCCUCUAAGUCAGGCUUUGGAGGGUGAUUGGAUAGCCCAGAAGGAGAGUCAGUUUGUACCCCUGAGGGAAAAUAUUGACCAUUUCUCAGUGGCUAGACUUUUUAAGAUACAAGCAGACACCAGAGGCUUCUUCAGAGAGCCCCCUCCCACCCAAUUCAGGACCCUCAGAGAGGAGCACUGAGGCUGUCUCAUCUGAUACUGCCUCUUAAGUAACAUGGAGGGGCAGAGGCACUGGAUUCACAUAGAACUGCCUAAGAAAAGGGCCAGGAGAGAGACAGGGCAGUGGGAUUCCCUCAGCCAGAAAGGAAACACAGGUGUAACCAGGGGUGGGGAAGGGGCCGGAGUGAAGCUUGCUGAGCAGGUUGCCCACAAGGGGCAGUUUGUGCACUGUCUGAUCCCGGGAGCGUAGAGUUCACGACUUGGGAGAGUUCUCUUAGCGACCUGCUCCUCCAACGUAAAGCAUGCACUGUUCGAUCUGAUGCUUUAGACACAGGAACAUGUGAGAGAGAAAGAGCACCAGCUGGGCACCCACCAGCAAAUAGCAUAAGGAAAAAAUGCCAAAGGCAAAGGAUGAGGCCCAGAGGCCAAACCCCAGCAGGACCUUCUAGAGCUUUCUGACUUUCUGCUGCUGGUUGCGAGUGUUUGGUUUGACAAGAUUGUUCAGUACUAUAACUUCCAAGAGCCUGCAUACCUGUCAUCCCCAGGUAUGUGUCCCCACGUCUGUGCGCACUUCAGUGCCUGACUCGAGGGCAGCAGAGGCUGCCUGUGCCUGAAGGUCCACCAGCCCUUUCUCUGUCAUCACUAGUGGGCAGAGUCUGCUCAAAGCCAGAGCAGGAGAGGAGCCUAGAUGCUACCAGUGUGGGGGCCUUGUUUGUGGGAGGCUGGGGCAGAGAGACUGAAGUUGGGAAG